GCCGCGUGUGUGAAGAAGGCCUUCGGGUUGUAAAGCACUUUCAGCGGGGAGGAAGGCGGUGAGGUUAAUAACCUCGUCGAUUGACGUUACCCGCAGAAGAAGCACCGGGCUAACUCCGUGCCAGCAGCCGCGGUAAUACGGAGGGUGCAAGCGUUAAUCGGAAUUACUGGGCGUAAAGCGCACGCAGGCGGUCUGUCAAGUCGGAUGUGAAAUCCCCGGGCUCAACCUGGGAACUGCAUUCGAAACUGGCAGGCUAGAGUCUUGUAGAGGGGGGUAGAAUUCCAGGUGUAGCGGUGAAAUGCGUAGAGAUCUGGAGGAAUACCGGUGGCGAAGGCGGCCCCCUGGACAAAGACUGACGCUCAGGUGCGAAAGCGUGGGGAGCAAACAGGAUUACAUACCCUGGUAGUCCACGCCGUAAACGAUGUCGAUUUGGAGGUUGUGCCCUUGAGGCGUGGCUUCCGGAGCUAACGCGUUAAAUCGACCGCCUGGGGAGUACGGCCGCAAGGUUAAAACUCAAAUGAAUUGACGGGGGCCCGCACAAGCGGUGGAGCAUGUGCUUUAAUUCCAUGCAACGCGAAGACCCUUACCUGGUCUUGACAUCCGCGGAACUUUCCAGAGAUGGAUUGGUGCCUUCGGGAACUGUGAAACAGAUGCUGCAUGGCUGUCGUCAGCUCGUGUUGUGAAAGGUUGGGUUAAGUCCCGAAGCGAGUGCUACCCUGAUCCUUUG
rnacentral:rRNA from 1 species